AGCACAUAUGUGUGUGCAUGCUUGUGUGUGUGUGUGCAUGUGAACAUACACAAAGCAGUAUCUCAAAGACUUUAUACCCAGUGUGGGUCUAUUUUUGGUUAGCUUACUUAUUUAGGCUCCUUUAUGUAUUCAAAGGGCAGCUGACAGGGAUAUGUAGAAUAUUACAUGCUAACAUAAACAGUCUUAGGGCCCCCAUUUCAAGGGCAUACAUUGGACUUAGGCCAUGGUUCUCAAACUGGCUGUCCAUCUAAGUCACCUGGAAAACAUGGAGAAAAAAGUCACAUAUUCCUGGCUUUCAUUCUAGACCCACUGAAACAGAAUCUGUAGGAGUGGGACCUGGGAGUCUGAUAUUUUGUUUUAUUUUGUUUUUUCCCUCCUUCCCUUUCUUCUUUUCUAUUAGUUUUUUAUUAAAACUUCUUAAGUGCUGGUACAGACUGUCCAAGGCCUGGAAUUUGGGACCCUUUGGUCUAGAACAUCUGGAGAAAUAUUUAGUUAGCCUUCAGGGACUCUUUUGUGAGUUUGUUCCUUGUUGCUUAUCAGAGAGUUUGAAAUUGUUCUUUCUUCCUAACAGGUGACAGGAGCAGAACCCUUCUAGGUGAUCAGUUAAAAGCAGAACAAUAUACCUUUCCCAGCAGUGGAGUUGAGGUGGAUUUGCUAUCCUCUAGUCAAAACUAUGGGAAUGGAUUCACCAGGACACAGCAGUUCAUUCUAGCUCUGCUUGUCAGUGAGCCACCUGGAACCUCAGGCUGGGCCAAAUUCUCCUUAAGCAAUCAUUUACCAUUUAUUCUACCAUAGCAGAUGAAAGUCAGAUCAAGGCCCUAGAUUUCUCUUGCUGAUAGCAAGAACAUAAAAGUAUUUAUCUCAGAAGUUUUUUUAAAAGUAAACCUAACCAAAUAGCUCCCUUGAGAAAAGAAAUUAAAAAGGGAGAAGAAGAGAGUCUCAAAUAUUCUUAAUAUUGCGGCCUAUCCCUCCCUAGAAAAAGCCACUUGAGAAAUAAAUAGCAAGGAAGCAGAACAAUGUAAACUUGAAUGAACUGGAUAUGUCUACAGGAAACCUUUUUAGAGAAGGUGAUAUAUGAGCUGGGGCUUGAGAAAAGAAUAGAACUAGACAGGAAAAUGUUGGGGGAGGGUAUUGAUCUGCAAGCUUGGACAAGAAACAAAGGCAUUGAGAAGGCAAUAUGUAAGAACCAUGAGCAAAGUCCAAUAGAAUUUUUAAGGCAGAUAGACUUACAAUAGGGAAGCUAUAACCAAACUGGUCUUGAGAGCGUGAAAAGAUUGGUAGCCACUACCAAUGGGCUGUCAGCCAGUGCUCAAGGAAGCCUUAGAUCAACCGCAAACUACAAGGACUAUGGCCAAAGCAGGCACUUCAGGCUAGUGUAUCACUCUACCCACACUAUGGGCUUCUAGAACCUCGAUUUAAUCCUGUUCUUUAUUCCUAGAUUCCAUUUUGGCAGGAAUGUAGGUAAGACCAAAGUAGGUACACUGCUCUCCAUUAGGUCAUGUGUUACUGUCCUGGGUACCCAGAGGCUCCUCCCACUCAGCAUCCACAUAGGGAAAGCAUCCCUUCCAUCUAGGCCUCCACCUUAUAACCACCACUUGCAGCAGUGCUUCCAUAGGCUGGCCUCUGAUCAAGAUCCUCAGACCAGUCACACAGUCAGUCCCAUCUAUGGCCAUUGUUGCUAAGUUCUUCUCUCAUCUCUAAUGAAAAUAAUGAUCUUUUUAACCUUUAUCUUGCCCAUUUUUGGUCCCUAUUUGGAUACCUGAUUAUAGCCUAGCAUUUGAAUGACAUCACUCCCUUACUCAUUUCCCUUACACAAUUAAAACAAAAAUAACUCUAAAGAAAAUGAGUAGUGACACAUCAAGAAAAGAAAAGAGGGGAGGACAUUUCAAAGAGGCCCAACUGCUUAUGGUUUCAGAAGUGAUUAGUGUUCCACUUUGGCUAGAAUGUGGGAGUGAAAAGAGGGAAGCUUAGCUGAAGGUGAGGCCGGAAAGAUGGAUUAGAGCCAGAUCAUGAAAAUUGUAUAACAUACUAAGGUGCUUGGUCUUUAUACUGCAGUCCAUAUGCAGAGGAGCCAUAGCAACGGUAGAAGAAUUUUAAGCAUGACAGUGCACAUUCUGAGCUGACCAAAUUGUAAAAAGAUCACUUUAGUGGUGGGAAAGAUAGAUGAGAGAGUAAAGACUGGAGACCAGUUAAGGAGACUAAUUGUCCUGGCAAGAGUCAGGGAGCCCUGGACUAUGGCAUUCCCAAUGGGAAUGGAAUAGAAAAGACAGAUUUGAGAAAGGCUCGAUAAGAUCUUGCUAAGAUUUCAAACAUGGAACAUUGAUGAACUGAGAAACAGAAAAGUCUAACUUGGGUACUUAAGUAGAUGGUACAGUAAUUAAUCAUGGAGAAGCAGGUUUUAUGGGAAAGGUUCUGUGCUCAAUUUUGGACAUAGUGGUUUUGAAGA